rnacentral:piRNA from 1 species
UUUGCUUUUGAAAGAAUGUGUCAGUGUGCGU